rnacentral:rRNA from 1 species
AGAUGCAAACAUACCAGCAUUAAUGCACCAGAUCCCAUCAGAACUAUGUAGUUAAGCGUGCUUGGGCGAGAGUAGUUGAUAUGUCUAUAAUUUGCAUGUUUUACACAUC